GUAAAUGUAAACCCUAAAAUUCAUCUUCUUUCUCACUCUCCACCCGACAACAUUACCCGUAGCUCUAUCUACUAUGUCUUCCAAGCCAGCAUCACCACCUCUGUCUCCUUCUCUUUCAAUCUGUCAAACCCAUACCUCAAUUACCAUCUUUCCCCUAUAAGACUAGAUGUUUAAUCUUCACUGUUAUCUCUGCACUCAUUUCAACCUAGCCCUAAACUAUGAAUUGUACAAAACUAGGUUGGCUAAUUGGUUUUCAAGAGUGCAGAAUUGACUAGUUGAGAUCUGAUUUUGUUAUUCUUUCAAAUACCAACAAAUACAGCAGAGAAUUGACGAGUUAACCAAGAAGCAGGGUUUGUCGAACUAAAGGUCUAAAAUCUCUGAAACACCAUGUACAAUAGCGGAAAAAUGAAGACAAUAUGGCGGCGAUUCAGUGGUAUUUAAAUAUAUAGUAUGUUGAGAGUUCAAGAUGUUGAUGUUAAUAUAGCAUAUCUGUUUGCAGACUGGAAAAUGUGAACAAAUGUCUCUUGCCUCUGAGCGUCGGUCACGUAACUCUCGGGAAAAAUCUCAAUCUAAAGAACAAACUGGACUUUCAACGAUAUGUCCUUUUUGCAGAACCAGCCACUUUCAGGCCUUGAUGAAUAUGAUGCCGACCCAAACACUAUGAAGAGAAAGAAGAAAUCUUCAGAAACGAAGAGCGGGGAAUUGAAGUCUCAGAGAUCCAGCAAAAGACUCAAGACUGCAGCCUAAUUAUUAAGAGAAAUAGUCGUGGACUGUAGAAUUUGGAUGUUUAAACUUUUAAAUCUCCUUUUGAAAUUUUGUUAUCUUAAGGUUAUUGAACAACUACUGAGAUGUUUCAUAUGAUUAAUAAAAA